UCGUAGAAGUAGCAAGUGAAAAAUUCCAAAAUUCCAAAUAUUUUCGGCUCAUUUUUGGUGAACAUUUUUUUCUGUUCAAUUCAGUGUUUUGUAUUUCAGUUAUUUUAGUUUUUAUUAGGCUUAAGCAUAAAGUAUCAAGUAUUGUGGAGCGCUAUAGAAUCAAUGCCAUUUUCUAACACACGCAGUAUAUUUAAGAAUACCAUUUGAACACACGUGAAGAAUACAAAAAUCGCUGUAUGCUGCUGCAACUGACUAACGACUUCGUUCUAAAUUCGCAAAAGCCUACAAAUCGAAGAGGAACCUCACAGGAUUCACUUAAUAACACACAGAACUGGGUUGGUGUAACUAGCAAUUAACUAAGUAAACUUAAGACACGCAAAAAAAUAAUGAUGCACACAAGAAGACCAAAGAUGUAAAUUCGCAGUACUAAAAAUGCAGACGAAAAAUUGGCGGAAAAGCAAAGCUACUUGGCAGUGCAAAGCCAUUGAUCAUCGAGGAAUAUGAGGGAGCCAUCAACGGGAGUAAAUCAAACAGCUGCUCCACCAAGUCCUUCCAUUCCAUUCGACGAUGUCUGCUAUUCGUAUUCGGCACUAUUUGUUAAGAGACAAAAAUACACUUGCCAAACAAGCAAAAACUAA